rnacentral:rRNA from 1 species
UACGGGGGGUGCGAGCGUUGUCCGGAAUCACUGGGCGUAAAGGGCGCGUAGGUGGUUUGAUAAGGGUGUGGUGAAAGUCCGGAGCUCAACUCCGGAUCUGCCGUGCCGACUGUCAAACUCGAGGGCUGUAGAGGCAGACGGAAUUCCGGGUGUAGCGGUGGAAUGCGUAGAUAUCUGGAGGAACACCGGUGGCGAAGGCGGCAUCCUGGACCAAUAUUGACGCUGAGGAGCGAAAGCCAGGGGAGCAAACGGGG